GUGGGCUAACGCCUGAUAUUUAUACAGGUCAGGGAGCCCCAGCCUUGCACAAUCAUAGCGGUUCAGAUUGAGCAGUAUGGUGAACAUAGCUGUCCGUCUGGUGAACACAGGACAGCAGGACUUGAUGUGUGUCUUCGGGGAGUGACUACAAUGAAGGACAGGACUGCCAGAGCAUUGCACAGACUGCUACGAUAAUUGCAACACUCCUCACACUAAAGUAUGCUCCAUCUUCUCUUUUCUCCUGCUGCUUCUGUCUCUUUGCAGUCUGUCUUCAAACUGCAAUAUAUGUCUCUGGAUCAAGAUAUAGACUUCAUCAUCGGCCUACUAGAAAUGUACCGUGGCUAUGAAUGUCUGUGGAAGAUCAAAGCCAAGGGGUAUUUGGAUAAAGUGCGGCGAAAUGCGGCCUUGGAGGAGCUAGUGGAGUACAGCAGGCCUUUUGUGUUCGGUGCUGACAAGGACUGGGUAAAGAAAAAGAUACAGAACUUGCGUAUGGUGUUCCUCAAAGAACACACAAAAAAUGGAACAGUCCAAAAGAUCUGGAGCAGGUUCCUCUCAGGUUUACAAGAAUAAUUUAACAAUUUCUAUAACUGACUACGUAGGAUACUGGCGCUAGAUAGUACAUCAGUAAGACUUAAUAUUAUAGAAGAAAAUUCGGGGCUGACACUGCAGUGUCUCCGGGAGAGGGCAGCCAGGUCAGCACAACAGGGGGCGCGGCAUCAAGGUGCAUGGGUGGAGCAGGGGCAUAGAGGUGCGAUUGCAUCAUCGCAGCCCCGCUCUACAAUGACCAGCUACCAUCUUUGAAGAAUGGGGGGGCGGGUCUACGAUAUCACAAUUCGUGUCAUUGCCCCAUCCACUUGCAGUAGGUAAGAGUUGACUGCGGCGGUGUACGGGUGGCUGGGGGAGCUGGUCGGCUGGCGUAAGCAGGCUCCUGGAGACUUGCCCUGCUUUCCGGGGGGCCGGGAUUGCCAUCUGAUUUUCAGGAGCCUCCCGGACGUUCCAAGAGGGUAGGCAAGUAUGAUGCACUGUAACUUGAAAUGAC